GUAUGUGAAAAUAGUUAGAAAGAAGAAGAAGGACAAGUGGGAGGGAUAAGAGAAGAAGUAGUAGAUGCUUUGCUUUAGAGGUGAUAUAUGCUUACAAAAAAUGACUUUUUAAUACAAUGAGUGAAUUCUCUUAUUAUUGUUGCAUUUAUUAUUUUUACUUUUUAUAUCCUUUGGAAACGUAUGAUUCACAAAGGUGAAACUAGAGAAUCAAAUCCUAUUUCACUCACUCUUAUAAAGUC
rnacentral:lncRNA from 1 species